UAGGGAAUCUUCCACAAUGGACGCAAGUCUGAUGGAGCAACGCCGCGUGAGUGAAGAAGGUUUUCGGAUCGUAAAGCUCUGUUGUUGGUGAAGAAGGAUAGAGGCAGUAACUGGUCUUUAUUUGACGGUAAUCAACCAGAAAGUCACGGCUAACUACGUGCCAGCAGCCGCGGUAAUACGUAGGUGGCAAGCGUUGUCCGGAUUUAUUGGGCGUAAAGCGAGCGCAGGCGGAAUGAUAAGUCUGAUGUGAAAGCCCACGGCUCAACCGUGGAACUGCAUCGGGAACUGUCAUUCUUGAGUGCAGAAGAGGGGGGUGGAAUUCCAUGUGUAGCGGUGGAAUGCGUAGAUAUAUGGAAGAACACCAGUGGCGAAGGCGGCUCUCUGGUCUGCAACUGACGCUGAGGCUCGAAAGAAUGGGUAGCGAACAGG
rnacentral:rRNA from 1 species